GCCCGGCAUGGGUCAGCUGGGAGAGCCGCGGCCGGGUCUCGACCUCGGCCUGCGGCACCAGGCGUUGCAGCAGCGGGCGGAUCGUCUCGGCGCCGAGGA
rnacentral:tRNA from 1 species